rnacentral:misc_RNA from 1 species
UCCGAGUUGACCCCGGCAGUCUCCUAUGAGUCCCCACCAUCACGUGCUGGCAACAUAGAACGAGGGUUGCGCUCGUUGCGGGACUUAACCCAACAUCUCACGACACGAGCUGACGACAACCAUGCACCACCUGUACACCAGCCCGAAGGCCACCACAUCUCUGCAGUGUUCCGGUGCAUGUCAAGCCUUGGUAAGGUUCUUCGCGUUGCAUCGAAUUAAUCCGCAUGCUCCGCCGCUUGUGCGGGCCCCCGUCAAUUCCUUUGAGUUUUAGCCUUGCGGCCGUACUCCCCAGGCGGGGAACUUAAUGCGUUAGCUGCGGCACGGACCUCGUGGAAUGAGGCCCACACCUAGUUCCCACCGUUUACGGCAUGGACUAC